GUGUCGCGUGUGGCUGUGGUCGUGCUGCUCUGUCUGUGUGCCGGCAACGGGGCACGCGCGCCGCCACCCUCGCCGCCCAUGCGUUCUGUUGAUGGCGAUUCGUGGCAGGUGACCAUAGUGUUUAAUUGGUGGUGCCCUCCCGGUUUGACCAAAAUGGACGGUGUCUGCCGAGCUUUUGACAUACCGCAAGGUAUCCCUGCAGACCUACCACGACCAGGAGUGGUAGGCCCGUGGCGGUGUGUCGAAGGCCAACAGGAAAUAAACGGCAAAUGCCGACCGUAUUCCAUAUUUCCAUCGGGAAUUCCACCGAGAAUUUCUGUCAAUCCUUUUGUUUUCAAGUGAGCCUCGAGCAAGCGCACAACGGACGAGCUACUCAGCAUCAACGGGGCGCCAUCGGCGGCGCACUACCGGUGGUUGUAGUCUAUAGCGUAGGCACGUGCACGGCCGUGGUCAGUUUCGUCACGCCCUAAGCAACUACAGCCAAAGCCAUUCUAGGAGACAUGGAGCAAGAUUUCCUGUUUUGUAUAUGGAAUCCGGUUUCCCCACAGUCUUGUCAUACUGGGUGCUCGUUGUACCAUGGUCUGCCUGCAUUUGGGCACGAUGCUUGUAGUGGUUGUAUAUUACACCCGGCAUUUUGUGAAAUAUCUUCCCGUUUUUGCUUAUUUGUUUAUGUACUGCUGUCCCACAGGCUGCUUUCAUAUUUAGUCUCUGCCACUCCGUUUCGCAUCAAAUGUGCCUCGUUGUUCUUGGUUGAGAUUAAAGGGCGUAGCGACUACUAAGGUCAUUUUCCCCAUGACAAAGUGUCAUUUACUUCGCGUGGAUUGCAUAUGACGGAAAUCCUAUUGUCCCUGGACAUGCGAACAAAUGUGUUGGCAUGGAUCAAGCGGAACUCGUCAUCCACCACGUCAUUGUAUUGUAUAUUAUUGCACUU